rnacentral:lncRNA from 1 species
UUUUUUUUUCCUUCCCUAUUCUUCUUCUCCCGCCAGUUGCCAACCGGUAGCUGGCAAGGUGAGGCCCGACAACCUCACUAGAGCCACACCGAUGGCCAGGCCAUCAACAAGUUUCGACCUCAUCUUGGGCUUAGGGAGGCUCCAGCAAGCUCGUUGGAACCUAGGCCCAGCCAAUCGACAUAGUUGACGACCGACAAUGAGGGAAGAAGGAAGGAAAGAAAAAGGAAAAAAAAAUUAACUUGAUUCUAGAGUUGUUCUUAGAAACAAAGAAAUAACUUUUUUAUAAUUUAUUGAUUCUGUUCCCAAAUACAAAAGAGUUACCAUACAUAUUUUUGUUCUUUUUUUUUUUGUUUGAUGAACAAAAGAAUAGAAUCAGGUAUGUUUAGGGACGGUACCAAAUAGGCCCAAGAAGGGUCCAAAAAUUUGUGUAGAGGGGUCAUUUUAGUGUCGAAAAUUUCAAUUGACUCACUUUUUUUUUUAAGGAGAAGUUAUGAAACCCUUCCUUUUUAGACUAGAUUCAAAUGCAUGAUUUUUUUUUUAUUUGACAAAUGUAUAAGUUUAAAAGCUAUAAAACCUUGCAUAUAUAUAUAUAUAUAUAUAAAGGUUUUAAUUGCACUAACAUGCUACAUGGAGGUUUCAAUCUUUAAUUUGAUCCGAGUGACAAUGAGGUUCUGUUUUUGCACUAGAAGGAACGUAUUCAGAUGCCUUAUCAAUAACAUCAAUGGAAAUUCCUUAAAUUUUCUCUUUCACCAACGAAAAGAGUGGGUACGUAUUCCUAAUUCAUACCAAGAAGAAUUAGGAUGUUUAGCUAAAUAUUGCAUUAUCUAGUGAUAAAGGCUAAGAAGCCGGUCCACUAAGUAUUCAGUGAGUGUAGUGUAAAUACUAGAUUGAAUUUAGAUAUUUAGUGGGUCUCACAUGGAACCUAGGUGAAUCUCAUUAUUUGAUGACCAGACUCAAUGUAAUGCAUAUAACACAUCAAUUUUUUUUUCCACCAUAUCACAAAUAACUAAUUGAUAUUUUUAAAAGGAUGAAGGUACAAUCUACUAUCUAACGGUUCUCGUUAAAUUAAGGCAAGAUGCUGUUUUUGCUUUUCCUUUUUCUAUUUUUUUGGUGCACUAGCUAGAGUUCAAAGGUUCUAGUUACAUUUUGUGGGCAUCUUCAAGGUGGAUUAGCUUCUGUAACGGGGCUACUUGUGAUCCUCGACUAGUCUUCGAGAGCACUCCAGAGAACUCGAAUAUCUAAAUACACGAUAAAGAGGCAAAAUUAAUAUCGGUGAAAAACUUUUCGACUGCGUAUGGUAAUCAAGAUAAAAUUCGAAAUAGGGUAAAAUAUGAUGGUCAAUGUUUAUUACCUUGGGCCGACUUUCUGCCACUUUGAUCACCCAUAUCUUGUUUCUUCAAUGCCUAAUCUAAUUGUUUCUUCCAUCCUCAGAAGUCUCAAAGUUUGCACUCUUCGCCUCUCUCUCUCUCUCUCUAACCUCGAUUCAAGUUUUCCGUUUUUUCUAAAACAAUCUCUUUGAUUAUGUAGCCAAUAUAAUUUUCAUUGAACCAUCAUACAGAUUUGCCUGUCAAAUAAGGACCAAAUUAUACAUGUGAAAAACACUUGGCUAGAAUUUUGACUAAACUUUUGCCAGUAGUCGGUGUUACGGGUGAGAUGGCAAACGGAUUUUUGGAAAUGGGAAGGGACAAAAGUUGAAAUUGACAAUCGCUAUUUAUAAUGUCUAUUUAAUGGCGCUCUGCCCUCCAUAAGAGUAGUAUUGUUUGCUUUUCACAAGCCAUCGAGUUACUCUGCAUCGACAUAUUAUAUUGUGAAAUUUUGUAAGCACUACCUCCACAAUUGAGGGUGUAUAUAUAGAGAGAUAAGGGUGAGAAAUAAGCUUGAAAUUGUGCAUGACAAAAUUUCUGGAAUAGAAAUUGAUUUCUAAUGACAAAUUGAUUUUUCAAUUUCUAUUUUAGAAAUUAAAAAGUUAAAAAUUUCGACUUCUUAUUUAUUCUUCAAUUUUAUUUUUGGAAUAUAAAUCUGUUCCAGAAAUAGAAAAAUCAAAUUGCGUUACCAAACGGAUUUCUAUUUCAAACCUGUUUUCAGGAAAUAAAGAAACACAGAAAUAGAGAAAUAGAAAUUUUAUCACGCGCGCCCUGAGUUCAUCAGGUACUCCCGAGACCAACGCGCAUUACUUGGGAACAAACUACUGUCAUCCAAGGAUUUUCUCUGUCGCUCUGCUUAAAUUUGAGUCCACCGAUUGCGCCAAAUAUUUUGACGGGGCUAAGUCGAUGGCAAGGAAAAAAAAAUAUAUUAUUCUGCACUGAAUUAUUAUAAUACACCUUAUAAAAUGAUUGAAUUAUUUGAUGUUCUAUUAUUCCGUGAUACCUCUUGGGCUAUAUUCGGUCCUUUUACCUUAUUCAUCAUGGGCCACAUCCCUCAUCAUUUGUACGAGGUAAUGAGUUUAUGACAAAGAGUAUCACAAUCACAAGCAGAACACGGAUUAAACCGGUUCGAGAACAUUUAUUAAUGGGAGCAUGAGAGUAUAUAACGACAGAAAACGAGCAUACAUGACAAAUAUACCCUUAAUAUUUGGACCAUCGGACUUGAUGAGGCGCUCGAUCGACGAUCUUAUUCCGACAUGCAAGUAGAUGUGUAGAACUCAUGCCCCCCAUGGCAAGCUGCUCCAUCAUGUCCUCACCCCUCCACACCGCACGAAGGCCCCGCAUGGAAGCUAUCCAUUUCCGCGAUCACGAUCACGACCUUGCCCUGGCGAGGGAAAGGGAUAUCGUCGUCCGAGGAAUAUGAAGCUGAAUCAUUGUCCGAGGAAUCUGAAGCUGAACUAGAGUUACCCAUUUUUCUUGAAGGAGAAGUUGCGCAACCCUUCCUUUCGAGACUAGAUUCAAACGUAUGAGUUUUUUUUUUGCUUUGGUCUGACAAAUAUAUGAGUUUGAAAGCUAGCAAACAUUGCGUAUAUAUAGUUUUUAAUUGCACUAAAAUCUUCAAUUUAAUUUACAUUUGCGUGAUAAUAAAGUUCUAUUUU